GAAAGGGAGAAAGACCGUCGGGGCACCAUUGCAUGCCUCAGUUUACCCAAAUGGUAAGUCAGGACAAGCAUCAUAGGGGACUGUGUUUGUACUUUCACAGUGCAUGAAGCAAGCAGCUUACCAAACUGUUUGGAAAGAACACUAUUCAAGAUUGAAUAGGUUGUCUCUCAGUGAAGGCUUGGCCAGUGGGUUAAAUACAUGUCCUAUGAUUAAAAAGGAAACCAUGGUGCAAAGAUGGUGAAAUGCCACUAACUCUUCCACCUUCAUUGAGGCUCGGUUCCAAUCAUCAAUCAAUCAAUCAAUCAAUCAACCCCCCUCCCUCCCUUCAUCACUCACUACCACCACCAUCCCCGCCCCCUGGUUUUUUGAGACAGGGUUUCUCUUUGAAGUCUUGUGCUGUCCUGGAACUUGCUGUGUAGACCACCUGCCUUUGCCUCUGAGUGUCGGGACUAAAGGUGUGCACUGCCAUUGCUGGUUCUAAACACAGUCUCAUAUUGUAGUAUUGAAUAGAAAAUAUCUGUUUCUCUUUUUAAGAGAGCAUAUAUACCGCUGGGUUAUAUGUACAGUGAGACCCUGUCUCAAAACACACACAGUCGGAGGAAGAAGAGAGCAUGUAUUUUCUGAAGUACUCAGGCUUCCUCGGGACAUUUGGGGAUAGGCAGUGUCUCCACUGGCUGUCUUCCGUGUUAGUUCCAGACAAUCUCUAAAGACCUGGGCCACACUGCAAAGUCAUGAGUGAAAACACUUUGACCUAGGGGUGGCAAAAGAGAAAAUGAAACCCCAGAGACCUCUUCCAGAGGGUUUCUUAGGAAAUCAUGUGGGAAACCAGGCUUUUGAAGGUGCUUGAGUCAGGUACAUGGGAACAAGUUACCAAGCCUUGGAGCACUCUGUGGGUGUUAGCCAGGCUUGCUCCUUAGCAAGCUGGGACUUAAAAGGAGUUGUGGGGGUCAGGGAUGCAGUUCAGCUGGCAGAGAUCCUGCUGGGCACACAGCCCUAGGUUUGAUCCUCGGUACCACAUAAGCCCAGCAGCACAUCUACCUGGCUGAGAGGGUAUACACCUGGAAUCCCAGCGCUGGGGAGGUGGAGACAGGAGAAUCAGACGUUCAGAGUCAUCCUUGACUACAUAGAGUUUGAAGAUAGCGGAAUCUGCGUGAGACCUUGUCAAAAAACCAACCAAACC
rnacentral:lncRNA from 1 species